rnacentral:tRNA from 1 species
GGUUGUGGCUCAGUGGUAGAGCGCUUGCCUAGCAUGUGUGAGGCCCUGGGUUCGAUCCUCAUCACCA